CCAUGGUGGAGGACUUCAUUAACAAGGUUCUUUCAUCCUGGCUGGCAGCUCAGGUCAUUAAGCCUGGCUUGAAAGAAGUGGGAGAUGGCUUUAGGGAGAAUGCCACUCCCUGUGAGUCUCUCUUCUAAACAUUCUCCAUCCCUGUUUCUAUCCUGGGAAUAAACGUUAAGAGAUGCCCAGGUAACAAGGAAAGCCAACAUUCUGAAGGCUUCGCACGUUCUGAAAUUCCUUGCUAUGUUAACAAGAAUCAGCAUGAGAUGGCUUGACCCAGAGGGUGCAUGCCUGCAACCUCAGCACUGCAGUUACUAAGGAAGGCAGUUCUCGUGCCCAAGGCCAACCUGCACUUCAGAGCAAGAGCUUGCUUCAAAAGAACAGGGCUGGGCUGUGGAAGACGGCUUGGCAUUUGCUGUACCAACUGGUGACUCAUGUCUGAGAACCAGAUCCCACUUGGGUGGAGGAGAGAACUGACCAACUCCCAAAGUUGUUCUCUGACCGCCACAUGUUGACAAAAUUCAUCAUCGCGGGAGCUGUGUUUUGAAAGUGCCUGAAAGUGACAGCAAUCUCCAUCCUUUCUGCCAGAAGCUCCUUCCUUCCAGCACUUGGUGACCCAAGCACCAAGACCACCCCUUGCCAGCCUCCAUCAGAGGCCCCGAGCAUCAGGGAUACACUUCUGCAAGAGACACGUCAACCCAGAGGUUUCAGCUGCAGCCCUAGGGAUCCCUGAAGUUCUACAGAGGAGAAUUAGUGAGACACUGAAGGAAACCAGCGAUGCUUGAGGUCUCCCAGCCCUGUCUCAGCCAGAAUGGCUGGGAUACUACUGUAAUUGAAUACGGGUACCCUAUAUACUUUUGUUUAUAGAAAGGGUUCUGUGUCACUAAAACGUUUAUAAAACAUGUGUCUGUACUAAUAAAUUUUAUAAUGGAA
rnacentral:lncRNA from 1 species